AUUUUGGUACGUCCGUCCCAAAAUUAAAUUCUUGUCUAGAUUUGUCUAAACACGGAUGUAUCAAGUCACAUUUUAGUAUUAGGUACAUCCGUAUCUAGACAAUUCUAAAACAAGAAUUUUGGGACGGAGGGAGUACAUG
rnacentral:pre_miRNA from 1 species